UCGACGUGAGACUUACAGGUCUAUAGUUAGCAGGAUCAAGUUUAUCUCCUGACUUGUACAAAGGCGUGAUUGUUGCUUGCAACCACUCGUAGGGCAAAGUGCCUUGUAAGAAUGAUUUUGUCAUCAUUUUGGCAAGUGGGCCCGACAACGAAGCAGCACAAGUUCUCAGGAGUUUGGGAGGUAUCUGAUCCGGACCUGGAGCUGUAUUUAAUUUAAUGGCACAGAGUUGGCUUUUUACCAGAUCCGGAGUAAAAUUAAUAUAAGACAACCCACUAAAUGUAGCAGCAAAACUGUCCGCUAAAGUGUUUGCAGUUUCUGUAUGAUCGGAGCAGAGUAGACCUGAAGCAUUUCGUACUAAAGGGACCGACACACGACUAGAGAUAAAUUUACGUACAUGGGAAUAAAAUAGUUUUGGUUUAUUUAAUAUAGAAUUUUCAUAAUUACACCUGGCUAUUUGUAAAUCAGAUUUUAGUUGGUUAGAAAAUCUUUUAUAAGCAGAAAAAUUAUCUUCAGUAGGCUUCCUUUUAAAUUUUUUCCAUAAUUUAGCUUUGUAUUUUAUUUUGUCAAGCAUGUGUUGAUUUAUCCACGGUUUAUCUUUUCUCAGUCGGUUUGUAAACAGUCUGGAAUUUGUUGUAAUGCAAGUUUGUAAAAUCGAUUUAAAAUGUUUCCAUUGUUCUUCCGCAUUUAGUGAAUCUAAACCAUUCCAGUCGUAAGUCAAGAGACUUUCGUCUAUGCGAGUGUAGUCAACAAUUGAUGUUGUUUUAAUUCUUGCAUUUGGCUCUGAAUAUAUCAUAAUUUGUAACUCAA